AACGAACGCUGGCGGCAGGCUUAACACAUGCAAGUCGAGCGCCCGCAAGGGAGCGGCAGACGGGUGAGUAACGCGUGGGAAUCUACCUAGUUCUACGGAACAACACAGGGAAACUUGUGCUAAUACCGUAUACGCCCUACGGGGGAAAGAUUUAUCGGAAUUAGAUGAGCCCGCGUUGGAUUAGCUAGUUGGUGGGGUAAUGGCCUACCAAGGCGAAGAUCCAUAGCUGGUCUGAGAGGAUGAUCAGCCAGACUGGGACUGAGACACGGCCCAGACUCCGAGGGGAGGCAGCGGCGGGGAAUAUUGGACAGUGGGCGAAAGCCUGAUCCAGCCAUGCCGCGUGAGUGAUGAAGGCCUUAGGGUUGUAAAGCUCUUUCAGUAGGGAAGAUAAUGACGGUACCUACAGAAGAAGCCCCGGCUAACUUCGUGCCAGCCGCCGCAGUAA
rnacentral:rRNA from 1 species